rnacentral:lncRNA from 1 species
GCUGGAGCUGAAUCUACUUUAAAAAUUUAGGGCAUUAAUUCUUUUCCUUUUUGGUAAUAUUCAAUGAGAACACUUGGAAAUGUUUUCCAUAAAAGGAUAGUAAUAUACAC